rnacentral:rRNA from 1 species
GAAUUUUGGACAAUGGGCGAAAGCCUGAUCCAGCAAUGCCGCGUGCAGGAUGAAGGCCUUCGGGGUGUAAACUGCUUUUGUACGGAACGAAAAGCUUUGGGUUAAUACCCUGGUGUCCUGACGGUACCGUAAGAAUACGCACCGGCGCAAUACGUCCCAGCAACCGCAGUAAGACGUAGGGUGCAAGCGUUAAUCGGAAUUACUGGGCGUAAAGCGUGCGCAGGCGGUUUUGUAAGACAGAGGUGAAAUCCCCGGGCUCAACCCGGGAACUGCCUUUGUGACUGCAAGGCUAGAGUACGGCAGAGGGGGGUGGAAUUCCGCGUGUAGCAGUGAAAUGCGUAGAUAUGCGGAGGAACACCGAUGGCGAAGGCAACCCCCUGGGCCUGUACUGACGCUCAUGCACGAAAGCGUGGGGAGCAAAC